rnacentral:rRNA from 1 species
GCAAAACGCGAAGAACCUUACCCACCUUUGACAUGUACGGAAUCCUUUAGUAGAUAGAGGAGUGCUCGAAAGAGAGCCGUAACACAGGUGCUGCAUGGCUGUCGUCAGCUCGUGUCGUGAGAUGUUGGGUUAAGUCCCGCAACGAGCGCAACCCUUGCCAUUAGUUGCUACGAAAGGGCACUCUAAUGGGACUGCCGGUGACAAACCGGAGGAAGGUGGGGAUGACGUCAAGUCCUCAUGGCCCUUAUAGGUGGGGCUACACACGUCAUACAAUGGCUGGUACAAAGGGUUGCCAACCCGCGAGGGGAGCUAAUCCCAUAAAGCCAGUCGUAGUCCGGAUCGCAGUCUGCAACUCGACUGCGUGAAGUCGGAAUCGCUAGUAAUCGCGAAUCAGAAUGUG